GACGAACGCUGGCGGCGUGCUUAACACAUGCAAGUCGAACGGAAAGGCCCGCUUGCGGGUACUCGAGUGGCGAACGGGUGAGUAACACGUGGGCAACCUGCCCUCAGCUUUGGGAUAACUCCCGGAAACGGGUGCUAAUACCGAAUAUUGACAUUUCCUCGCAUGGGGGUUUGUUGAAAGUUUUUUCGGCUGGGGAUGGGCCCGCGGCCUAUCAGCUUGUUGGUGGGGUGAUGGCCUACCAAGGCGACGACGGGUAGCCGGCCUGAGAGGGCGAUCGGCCACACUGGAACUGAGACACGGUCCAGACUCCUACGGGAGGCAGCAGUGGGGAAUAUUGCGCAAUGGGCGGAAGCCUGACGCAGCGACGCCGCGUGAGGGAUGAAGGUCUUCGGAUUGUAAACCUCUUUCAGUAGGGACGAAUAGAAGACGGUACCUGCAGAAGAAGCACCGGCCAACUACGUGCCAGCAGCCGCGGUAAUACGUAGGGUGCGAGCGUUGUCCGGAAUUAUUGGGCGUAAAGAGCUCGUAGGCGGUUCGUCGCGUCGAAUGUGAAAUCCCGGGGCUCAACUCCGGGUCUGCAUUCGAUACGGGCGGACUAGAGUUCGGUAGGGGAGACUGGAAUUCCUGGUGUAGCGGUGAAAUGCGCAGAUAUCAGGAGGAACACCGGUGGCGAAGGCGGGUCUCUGGGCCGAUACUGACGCUGAGGAGCGAAAGCGUGGGGAGCGAACAGGAUUAGAUACCCUGGUAGUCCACGCCGUAAACGGUGGGCGCUAGGUGUGGGGGACUUCCACGUUCUCUGUGCCGCAGCUAACGCAUUAAGCGCCCCGCCUGGGGAGUACGGCCGCAAGGCUAAAACUCAAAGGAAUUGACGGGGGCCCGCACAAGCGGCGGAGCAUGCUGAUUAAUUCGAUGCAACGCGAAGAACCUUACCAAGGCUUGACAUACACCGGAAACUUCCAGAAAUGGUUGCCCCGCAAGGUCGGUGUACAGGUGGUGCAUGGUUGUCGUCAGCUCGUGUCGUGAGAUGUUGGGUUAAGUCCCGCAACGAGCGCAACCCUCGUCUUAUGUUGCCAGCACGUCAUGGUGGGGACUCAUAAGAGACUGCCGGGGUCAACUCGGAGGAAGGUGGGGAUGAGGUCAAAUCAUCAUGCCCCUUAUGUCUUGGGCUUCAAGCAUGCUACAAUGGCCGGUACAAAGGGCUGCGAUACCGCGAGGUGGAGCGAAUCCCAAAAAGCCGGUCUCAGUUCGGAUUGGGGUCUGCAACUCGACCCCAUGAAGUCGGAGUCGCUAGUAAUCGCAGAUCAGCAACGCUGCGGUGAAUACGUUCCCGGGCCU
rnacentral:rRNA from 1 species